CCUACGUGAGGCAGCAGUGAGGAAUAUUGGUCAAUGGACGAGAGUCUGAACCAGCCAAGUAGCGUGAAGGAUGACUGCCCUAUGGGUUGUAAACUUCUUUUAUAUGGGAAUAAAACGUUCCACGCGUGGCAUUUUGUAUGUACCAUACGAAUAAGGAUCGGCUAACUCCGUGCCAGCAGCCGCGGUAAUACGGAGGAUUCGAGCGUUAUCCGGAUUUAUUGGGUUUAAAGGGAGCGUAGGUGGUCUGUUAAGUCAGUUGUGAAAGUUUGCGGCUCAACCGUGAAAUUGCCGUUGAAACUGGCAGUCUUGAGUGCAGUAGAGGUGGGCGGAAGUCGUGGUGUAGCGGUGAAAUGCUUAGAUAUCACGAAGAACUCCGAUUGCGAAGGCAGUUCACUGGACUGCAACUGACACUGAGGCUCGAAAGUGUGGGUAGCAAACAGGAUUAGAUACCCUUGUAGUC
rnacentral:rRNA from 1 species